UACGUAGGGUGCAGGCGUUAAUCGGAAUUACUGGGCGUAAAGCGUGCGCAGGCGGUUUGCUAAGACAGGUGUGAAAUCCCCGGGCUUAACCUGGGAACUGCGCUUGUUACUGGCAGGCUUGAGUGUGGCAGAGGGGGGUGGAAUUCCACGUGUAGCAGUGAAAUGCGUAGAGAUGUGGAGGAACACCGAUGGCGAAGGCAGCCCCCUGGGCUAACACUGACGCCUCAUGCACGAAGCGUGGGGAGCAAACAGG
rnacentral:rRNA from 1 species